rfam:Criblamydia sequanensis, CRIB-18, WGS project CCEJ01000000 data, contig: 6
GCCGAUAUGGCGAAAUGGCAGACGCGGUAGACUCAAAAUCUACUCUUGGCAACAAGGUGCUGGUUCGAGUCCGGCUAUCGGCA